CUGAUCCUGGUUCAGGUUAAGACCUGAUCCUGGUUCAGGUUAAGACCUGAUCCUGGUUCAGGUUAAGACCUGAUCCUGGUUCAGGUUAAGACCUGAUCCUGGUUCAGGUUAAGACCUGAUCCUGGUUCAGGUUAAGACCUGAUCCUGGUUCAGGUUAAGACCUGAUCCUGGUUCAGGUUAAGACCUGAUCCUGGUUCAGGUGUUGGAGCAGAUCAGGUCUGUUGAAGCAUGUGAACCAGCUACACAUUGAUGUGUUGUUUUUUAAAUGUAUUUAUAAAGUGAUGUAAUAAAUAGAAUGAGCCCAGCACAAACUAACCGUAUUAUUGAAGACAGGAAAAUAACUCUUUUUAAACUUUGUAAAACAUUCAGCUGCUCAGUAAUAGGAUUACUGUUUUCCACACAUGGAAGCACAUGAACUGCCUUUACAAUAUUAAGAAACUGUAAAUGUGAUUACUCAGUUUCCAGAUGUUAGCUGAACUCAGGGAGGAGGAGCAGCAGCUGGAUGACUGAGCGUGUUUACAGCAGUUUACAGCAGUUUACAGCAGUUUACAGCAGUUUACAGCAGUUUUUAUGAAACACAUUACAGAGAGCAGUUCACUGUAGCAGUAGGGUGUUUUAACAGUUAUCACAUUACUGAUUGUCUGUAUGUUCACAUUGCACAUCAGCAUUGAACAGAAUAUUCCAGUUUAUGCAAACCACUACCGAAAAAUAUUUUAGUGUUUAAGCACAAAGAUAGAUGGGUUAGAGAUGUAGACAAUUAUAAAUGUUUAAUGUUUCAUCUGAAUGCUUAUUGUAGUUUCCUGUUUCAACGUGUCCCAGUGUAACACUGACUGUAGAAUAGAGAUUAUGAAGAUGAUCAAAUCAGGUAUUUGAGAGGGUGCUUAAUACGGGUGUUAACCAGAUGUAACUGAAAGUGCGCCCUCUAGAGGUUUAACACUACACUGUGAGGGGAAAUGUUGCUGGUGUUCUACCUGCUGGGACCCCCACCUGUGUUUGUAAACAUACUUUAUUACACAUAAUGAGUUCUACCAAUAUGUCCAACCCACUGUUGUACAGUUUUUAAAAUGUGAAUUUAAGUGUGAUCCAAAUGACUACUGUUGUAUGAUUAUUAAACAAAAUGAGUCUUCAGUAAAUCAG